AUGAAAUUUCUAUUCUGUUCUUAAGUGUCUUAAUUUUAAAUAAAUUAAACAUUUUUUAAUUCCUUGUUUUUAUUAUUGUGAUUAUUUUUUGGUGAUAGUUUUACCUUUAUCUAAAACACUUUGAAUUAUCAUUGUGUAUGAAAUGUGCUACAAUAUAAAUGAACUUGCCUUGCAGUGUCAUAGACUAGAUAAAUGACGGAGAAAAUGAAAAUGGACAUAAGAUCAUUUUUCUGUGCACCUAAAUGCCAUGUAAGUACAAAAAGUUCACACAUUAAGGCAAUUUGGUUUUAAGAAUGGGUGCUUAUGAAAAUACUAAUGUCACAAUAUCAAUCACAAGCAAAGGAGACAGAAAUUAUUGAGGGACAGGUAGAGCAGGAUCAAUCAGAUGUACAGUGUAAGGUAAGUGUGUUGUGCUUUUAUUAAAGGGAUAAUGACAGAAUUUUAUUCAGAGUUGUGGCUGUUCAGCAGAAGAAACAUCACAGGCUCACCAAUUUACAGUAAGAUCUGUCAAUUUAUCAAGUGUAAUGUAAACUAGUUAUUAUGAGUAUGGAAAACAUCUUUACCUACAUUUUUUUCUGCUUCAGGAGUCAGUCUGUUUUGAGACAGUGAGAGUCAGGGGGCAGAUUCAGGGGCAGAUUCAGAACCAGGGAGGGAGCCGGAGACAGCGGAACAGAGAGAUGAUAUUGCCAGCACCAGCACAGGGAGCACAGUUUUUGGUUUAGAUCUCAGUGCCUGCACAAAGCUUUACCAACCACCUCCUCAGUGUAUCGAAAAACAAAUAGUUUCAAAUAAGUCAUUGACAUUUCAAGAGAAAUGGUAUCAAGACUUUCCAUGGCUACAUUAGUCCAUCAGUGAAAGAAAAAAGAGAGGUCACAGGUCUAUAGGGACAAAAUAAAAGCUGACCCUAUAAAAUAUGAAGAGACUUAAGAGACAGGGAGAGAUACCUGAGGAAAAACGAAAAAGGAGUAGUAAAAGCAAUUGCAGAUCUGUCAAAGUAGGAGCAACGCAAACAAAGGAGACAAUGGAGAAUCAAAGAAAUAGACAAGAGGAGAUUCAAAAAACCCUCACAAUGCAGGCCUACCUUUCCACCACCACACCGCCACUGAUGUUGUCUUGCAGCCAGAACAGGAUGUUGACCUGACCCCCCACACCACCUGCCCAAUCUCAAUCCCAAAAUCAGUGGGGAAGGAAAAGGGUAGCAAGAAACCGACAAAGUGUAUGCAGCACUGUAUGAGAGUAACACCAAGCUUGAAAAAGCUUUGCGAAAGGCACAGAAAUACCGCCAGCGGUAUAUGAGACUGAUGGAAAAAAAAUGAGGCAGGCUGACUCUCCAAAUACAAAAUAGCACUUUACAAAGAACUUUAGUUUUUCACAACGCUCUGAUCACUGAAUUGAGACAGAUAUAAAAAUCUCCACUUAGACAUGGACAAACACAUCAUUUCCAAAAUAAUGUCAGGAAAAGUCCUUAAGAAGUAUCAACUACUGAAAAUGGCCCAAAGGGAAUUUGGCUUUUCACCCAGAAGAAUGAGAAGUAAUGAAAAAAGGACAACAGCAUUUACUUACACACGGAAGAAACAAACGAACAGCAUUAGCCCAGCCACAGAAGAAAAAAUAAAACAAUUCUUAGAAAGAGAUGAGAAUAGGGCUGGAAUCAGAUGGGCAGGAAGAAACUCACUUGGAACUUUCUGGAGGCUGGCCAUGGAAAAGGCCCUGCUGAUGGGAUAGGAGCAGCAGUGAAAAGAAGCGCUGAUGACAUCAUAGCUAGAGGGAAGGACAUGACAUAAAUGCUUGGGUGCUCUUUGAGGAGCUUCAACAGCAAAAGUCUGCCACAGAGCUCUUCAAUGUUGAGCCAGAAGAAAUUGAGUGUAUGGACAUUCAUGUGCCAUCCGAGCUACAAACAAUCUGUGGCGCAAUGAAGAUUCAUCAGAUAACCUCUGCUAGCCCAAGCCAAAUGUCAUGUAGAAUCCUCAGUUGCUUUUGCUCUGCACCUCAUGACUGCAAUCCAGAAACAGUCAUGUUCCAGCAUUGGGAUGAAGCUUCUCCCUCAACCAAUACAUCGCAUCCUGACACACCUCAAAUAGGUCUGCGGCACAUUGUGGACUUGAACGAGGGACAUGUUGGUCAGUGGUGUGCUGUGAAGUAUGAUGGAGAUAUUUAUCCUGGUAUCAUACAGGAUACUGAUGUCUACAGUGGUGCUCUGGUUAAAACCAUGAGCCGUGUUGGUCUCAAUCGUUUUUUUUUGGCCUCCAAGGGAUGACAUAAUCUCGUACCAAACCAAGAAUAUCAUAGGCCUAAUCCCUGAGCCUGUACCAGUGACCAAACGUCACAAGGAAAUUAUUUUCUGUCUGGGAAGAAAUAUGUGAAACACUUAAUUAGAAGUGGCCUCGAAUCACAUCACAUUCCACAUCUCUGUUUAAAUGUUACAGUUUCAGGUGUUCUUUACAGUUACUCUUUACAGAAGAUGAGUAUUCAUUUGAGACCAAUAAGAACAUUUCAGAACAUUAACCUCAUAAUUAUCUCACAUUGUUGAAUUUUUUUAUGCAUCUUUUAUUGCUUGUAUUUUCCCUGGCCAUCAGUUGUCAGUUCUUUACAGUACUGUAAAGAAAUGCACUGUAACCGUUCAUUUACAUUUACAGCAUUUAGCAGACACCCUUAUCCAGAGUGACUUACAACUGAGCAACUGAGGGUUAAGGGCCAUGCUUAGGGGCCCAGCAGUGGCAGCUUGGUGGACCUGGGGUUAGAACCCAUGACCUUCCGAUCAGUAGCCAAACACCUUAACCACUGUGCUACCACAUCCCCACAUCCCUGUUCAUCUGUGAGACAAAUCAGUUUUAUACAGUACAUCAACCACACCUGUUUUAGUGUACUGCUGAGUUUGCUUAAUGACUCUGUGAAUUGAGUGUUAUGAGUUUAAGUAUUUUUCUAAUAAAUAUAUCUACUGUUUCUCUACA